rnacentral:rRNA from 1 species
GACGAACGCUGGCGGCGUGCUUAACACAUGCAAGUCGAACGGAAAGGCCUUGUUUUUGUGGGGUGUUCGUGUGGCGAACGGGUGAGUAUCACGUGAGUAACCUGCCCUUUACUUUGGGAUAACUUCAUGAAACUCGGGCUCUUACCGGAUAUGAGCUCCUUCUGCAUGGUGUUUGUUGGAAAGUUUCGGCGGUUGGUGAUGGACUCGCGGGUUAUCAGCUUGUUGGUGGGGUAGUGGCUUACCAAGGCUUUGACGGGUAGCCGGCCUGAGAGGGUGACCGGCCACAAUGGGACAGAGGAACGGCCAGGACUCAUACGGGAGGAAGCAGUGAGAAAUAUUGCAAGAUGGGCGGAAGCAGGAAGCAGCAACGCCGCGUGCGGGAUGACGGCCUUCGGGUUGUAAACCGCGUGCGCCUGUGAAGAAGAGUGAGUGACGGUAAUGGGUAAAGAAGCAACGGCUAACUACGUG